rnacentral:rRNA from 1 species
GACAGAGGAGCCAAGCGUUGUCCGGAUUGACUGGGCGUAAAGCGCACGCAGGCGGAUGCGCGCGUGGGGUGUGAAAUCUGGCCGCUUAACGGCCAGGCGCCAUCCCAUACGGCGCGUCUGGAGUGAUGCAGAGGUCGAUGGAAUUGCCGGUGUAGUGGUGAAAUGCGUAGAGAUCGGCAGGAACACCCAGGGGGAAACCAGUCGACUGGGCAUCUACUGACGCUGAGGUGCGAGAGCGUGGGGAGCGAACGAGG